AGGGGCUAAGGAUAUGAAAGGGGUUUAUUUUAUUCAGUUUUAUUCACUUCAUAGAUGCAAAGUUGUUGCAGCUCAAUGCCUGUAUGGACUUCAAUCUCAAAGGGACACAACAAUAUUUAAGUGGCAGACUUAAACUGACUCUAGGCUAAACUCUAAGCCUUCAGGAUCCUGUUAAGUAGAUCAAAGUCCUUUCUUCUCUUAGCUACCAUGUACCAAACAUCACUGAUGUAUUACUAUUUCUUCUGAUCUUACUAAGCAUAAGCAAUUGAUUUGUUGGCCUGGAAACCAUGUAAAAGUGCAUAGGCCAUCACGUAUAUUUUUAAAUUAUGUAAAGAAAAA
rnacentral:lncRNA from 1 species